UAGAGUUUGAUCAUGGCUCAGAACUAACGCUGGCGGCGCGUCUUAAACAUGCAAGUCGAACGGCAGCACUUCGGGUGGCGAGUGGCGAACGGGUGAGUAACACGUAGGUAAUUUGCCCACGGGCGGGGGAUAACCACUCGAAAGAGUGGCUAAUACCGCGUAACAUCAUAACUACUACGGUGGCUAUGAUCAAAGCAGCAAUGCACCUGUGGAGAAGCCUGCGUCCGAUUAGAUAGUUGGUGAGGUAAUGGCUCACCAAGUCAGCGAUCGGUAGCCGGCCUGAGAGGGUGAACGGCCACACUGGAACUGGGACACGGUCCAGACUCCUACGGGAGGCAGCAGUUAAGAAUCUUGCGCAAUGGAGGCAACUCUGACGCAGCGACGUCGCGAGUAUGAUGAAGGCCCUCGGGUUGUAAAGUACAACAAAUAGGGAAGAAGCAAGUAACGGUACCUAUCUGAAGCACCGGCUAACUACGUGCCAGCAGCCGCGGUAAUACGUAUGGUGCAAGCGUUGUUCGGAAUUACUGGGCGUAAAGGGUGCGCAGGCGGAUAGAUCAGUCGGAAGUGAAACCUGAGGGCUCAACCCUCAGCCUGCUUUCGAAACUUUCUAUCUGGAGUCCGGAGAGGCAGGCGGAAUUCCCGGUGUAGCGGUGAAUGCACAGAUAUCGGGAGGAACACCAAUGGCGAAGGCAGCCUGCUGGACGGAGACUGACGCUCAUGCACGAAGCGUGGGGUCAACAGGAUUAGAUACCCUGGGUAGUCCACGCCCUAAACGUUGUAGACCAGACGUUGGAGGUAUCAACCCCUUCAGUGUCGCACUUAACGGAAUAAAGUCUACCGCCUGGGGACUAUGCUCGCAAGAGUGAAACUCAAAGGAAUUGACCGGGGCCCGCACAAGCCGUGGAGCAUGUGGUUUAAUUUCGAUGAUACGCGAAAACCUUACCCGGACUGACAUUGACUGGACACGCGUAUAGAUACCUCCUCCCGAGGUCAGUGUACACGUGCUGCAUGGGUGUCGCAGCUCGUGGCGUGAGGUGUCCGGUUAAUCCGUACCAGCGCAACCCUAUGUGUAGUUGCAGCACGUAAGUGGAACUCUAAGAGACUGGCUGUCGAUCAAGCCGAGGAAGUCGGGACGACGUCAAGUCAUCAUGGCCACUUAUGCCUUGGGCUACCACAUGCUACAUGCGAUACAUGGGUUGCUAGGAAGUCGGGACGACGUCAAGUCAUCAUGGCCACUUAUGCCUUGGGCUACCACAUGCUACAUGCGAUACAUGGGUUGC
rnacentral:rRNA from 1 species